rnacentral:misc_RNA from 1 species
AAGUCGUAACAAGGUUUCCGUAGGUGAACCUGCGGAAGGAUCAUUAAAGAGAUCAUGCCCUCACGGGUAGACCUCCCACCCUUUGUUUACAAUACCUUUGUUGCUUUGGCGGGCCCGUUUGGCCCCGCGCUGAACAACCGGCCCCGGCUGGUCAGUGCCCGCCAGGGAACCGAAAACUCUGAAUUAAAUGUCGUCUGAGUACUAUGUAAUAGUUAAAACUUUCAACAACGGAUCUCUUGGUUCUG